rnacentral:lncRNA from 1 species
AAAAUGUGUAGGUAAAAAUAAUAAGAAAAAUAACAGUAGUUACAGACAUAUUAAACUUUAAACAAAAUAUAUGUAAAUUAAAUGUUUGAACUGGAAUUUUAAGUCUGAAUUGUUUUAAAUUAACUGCUCAGUACCUGCAGUUUAUGUGUUUACAGUACACGGAGUAACAGUUUUAACCUUCUGGUGUGUUUCCUUUUAAGAGUGUUUCACCAAAGCUGUGUGAGAUUCUGCAAGCUCGUCUAAAGGCCCACAGAGGGACUUUUACCUCCAACCGGCCUUCCCCGAGAGCCCUGCACCUGGAGUUCUCCAAACCCUCUGAGAACCAGCCCCCCUCACUAAACACCAGCACAGCGCCUCUGGAGCACAGCGUGGAGACCUUCCUGGAGAAGGAGGAGAAGGUUCAGACCUCAGACAGUGAGGCCGGACUGACGCCUGUCAGACCACCACAAUCACAGGCCCAGAAGCUCAGCGUUCAGGACAUGGUGCUGCCAUCUGGACCCAUACAUACAGAGACUUUGAUCCCGGCAGGUUAUUUGAUUCCGAUCUCCCAGCAGUCUAUCGUGAACUUCAGAGAUCCACAAUACUCCACUGGAGAAAGCUCCAAAGCCUCCACACCAACAUACAACAUCUAUCACACCCCAGCUGCAGGUAUGCCAAUACCCAAGGUUAUACCAAAAAUCUGUAUAUAUGGAUGGGGGGGGGAGUUAUAUUUAGUUAGUUAUAUUUCUUUGAUCAAAUAUUGA